UGACCCGUGGUGUAAUUGGUAGCACAACAGACUCUGGAUCUGUUUGUCUAGGUUCAAGUCCUAGCGGGUCAGCCA
rnacentral:tRNA from 1 species